UAGAAAAAUCCACCUGCUGCUACUGGUCACAUGACCAGAUGAAGCCUCCUGCAGGAAAAAGAUUUGAAGCUUCGAGGCCUCAGUCUUGAGGAGUAACAGCGACAUCUGGUGGCCAACCAAAACAUGGCGAGAAGACAAGAUGACCCCAGAGAAUUCAUCAAAGCCUUUCUGGGGCCAAAUGGUGAUCUACAGUCACUAGAGUGGGUUCAAGUAUUUAUCAGACUCAUGGAGGUCUGUGAUGAGACAGCCAGCAGAUGCGUAUACCUUAACAUCUUGGUGCACACCGAGUCUGACAGCGUUCUGAACAGGCAGWGACUAACUUCCACAUAUUCAUCACUGCUGGCGGCUAUUCGCUCCUCAAUUCCUGGCUGGUGUACUCGACRUCUACGAACGACACGACUCUGCUUCGAGGAAUCCUGCGUGUGCUGAAAAAGCUGCCUCUUACAGUGGAACAUCUCAAAAUGAACACAAUGGCCAGGUUGGUGUGGCAGCUUAGCAAAAGGUCAGAGAUUGGAG